UGGACUGUCUAUUCUCAGCUUCUUCUUGGCUU
rnacentral:piRNA from 1 species